GCGCUACAUGUACGAAAGUAUUUAAGUCUUCGAUAUGCUUUCGUCCAAACGCACAGAUUGCAAUGCAUUGCAAAUGUAUUUUUCCAGCUGAGAGCAUACCAUUCCACAGACACAUACAUGUGUCAUAUGUAGUACAAAUGCGACAGACAAAAGCAUCUGACUAACUAAGAGGAUUACAUUACACAUUUCCUGGGGGGCAGCCCUUUUUUCGUGCACGUUACGCAAGGUGAAAAAAUUUAAUUUUUAAGCGGAUUUCGGUAUUAGUUAAUGGCGCAGGCCGGAGGCGGCCCGCCCUCCUGCAGGAGCUUUUCCCUACAAAAAGUGAAUAUAAUUGGAUUUCGGCUGCUCUUCCGUUGAGUGGAUGAGAAAGAGAUGGAUGGAUGAAUAUUGGGAGACUGGCUGAGAGGGAAAUGUAUUCGGAAUGCAGCGGAGCAAGAAAGAAAGAGGAAAAACGUCGAUAACGUCCCGUCCCAGUCCCCGUUACCGUUCCCGUUCCCGUCGUUUUCGAACUCGAACUCAAGCUAUUGCUCAAAGUGCUGCUCACGUGGAAGGUCCUUAAAUAUUUGGUCACGGGCCAGGACGACACCGAAAUGGGAAAAAUGUGCGCCCAGGUAUGCGGGCGGGUGGCCCGCGACAAGGGAGACACUUUUUAGCUCCUUUGGCUCGCUCCCCUGGCUCUCGGUGCCGAAGACAAAUUUGUGAAAGCAAUUUACAGUUAUUAAAGCUUUU
rnacentral:sRNA from 1 species